rnacentral:rRNA from 1 species
GACGAACGCUGGCGGCGUGCUUAACACAUGCAAGUCGAACGGAAAGGCUCCAGCUUGCUGGAGUACUCGAGUGGCGAACGGGUGAGUAACACGUGGGUGAUCUGCCCUGCACUUCGGGAUAAGCCUGGGAAACUGGGUCUAAUACCGGAUAGGACCGCACUUUGGUGUGUGUGGUGGAAAGGUUUUUCUGGUGUGGGAUGAGCUCGCGGCCUAUCAGUUUGUUGGUGGGGUAAUGGCCUACCAAGACGGCGACGGGUAGCCGGCCUGAGAGGGUGGACGGUCACAUUGGGACUGAGAUACGGCCCAGACUCCUACGGGAGGCAGCAGUGGGGAAUAUUGCACAAUGGGGGAAACCCUGAUGCAGCGACGCCGCGUGGGGGAUGAAGGCCUUCGGGUUGUAAACUCCUUUCGCUAGGGACGAAGCUUUUUGUGACGAUACCUGGAGAAGAAGCACCGGCUAACUACGUG